GAUGGAGGGCUUCCAGUUCAUUCCAUGAGAGAUGUCAGAGUACCAGAACCAGAGGUUGCUCCCCGAUUCCAGGAUCCACAGGUUCCCAGCGUGAGGUGGGUGGCGAGCUGCAGCAAACUAUUACUGUCCAACCUUGCCUUCCUGAUCUCCCCCCAUAUGGACUGUGUAGUU